rnacentral:rRNA from 1 species
CGUGCCUAAUACAUGCAAGUCGAGCGGACAGAUGGGAGCUUGCUCCCUGAUGUUAGCGGCGGACGGGUGAGUAACACGUGGGUAACCUGCCUGUAAGACUGGGAUAACUCCGGGAAACCGGGGCUAAUACCGGAUGGUUGUUUGAACCGCAUGGUUCAGACAUAAAAGGUGGCUUCGGCUACCACUUACAGAUGGACCCGCGGCGCAUUAGCUAGUUGGUGAGGUAACGGCUCACCAAGGCAACGAUGCGUAGCCGACCUGAGAGGGUGAUCGGCCACACUGGGACUGAGACACGGCCCAGACUCCUACGGGAGGCAGCAGUAGGGAAUCUUCCGCAAUGGACGAAAGUCUGACGGAGCAACGCCGCGUGAGUGAUGAAGGUUUUCGGAUCGUAAAGCUCUGUUGUUAGGGAAGAACAAGUGCCGUUCAAAUAGGGCGGCACCUUGACGGUACCUAACCAGAAAGCCACGGCUAACUACGUGCCAGCAGCCGCGGUAAUACGUAGGUGGCAAGCGUUGUCCGGAAUUAUUGGGCGUAAAGGGCUCGCAGGCGGUUUCUUAAGUCUGAUGUGAAAGCCCCCGGCUCAACCGGGGAGGGUCAUUGGAAACUGGGGAACUUGAGUGCAGAAGAGGAGAGUGGAAUUCCACGUGUAGCGGUGAAAUGCGUAGAGAUGUGGAGGAACACCAGUGGCGAAGGCGACUCUCUGGUCUGUAACUGACGCUGAGGAGCGAAAGCGUGGGGAGCGAACAGGAUUAGAUACCCUGGUAGUCCACGCCGUAAACGAUGAGUGCUAAGUGUUAGGGGGUUUCCGCCCCUUAGUGCUGCAGCUAACGCAUUAAGCACUCCGCCUGGGGAGU